rnacentral:lncRNA from 1 species
CGAAAUUCACCCUACUCCGAUACAACUUUCAUCUGAUCCAUGGCCCUAUUGCACAUGCAUGCUUUCAUUAUCUCCUCAUCAUAAUUAUAUUAACUUUCAUAACCAAAUACAUAUUGCAUGGGAUCAAUGCAUGAUUUAAAAAAAAAAUUAAAAAAAAAAUUAAAAAAAAAAAUUAAAAAAAUUAAAAAAAAAAUAAAUAAAUAAAAGAGGAAAAGGGGGGAAACCGGAUUUUGCCUCCCACACUCCAAAAAAAAGAGCUUUUUUUUUUCACAAAGGGUAUUUGGUUCCCCCCAUUUUCCCACUAACUUUCCCUAUAAAUAGAUGCACUAUUCCCUUUCAUUUUUCAUGCUUUCUAGCCCCCAAAAUUGAUAAAAAAAUAUCAUUCAACCUCUCUUCUCCAAACCUAAAUCAAAACCCAAAAAACUUUUCCCUCCCAAAAGUCACCACUACCAACUUUUUUCCAUUUCACAUUUUUUUCCUCAAAGUUUCUCACUCUCUAACACUCAUAACCCAACUCUUUUACUAAGCUUUCACCACAAAUAUUUUCAUCCCAAACCCCUUACUUCACAUUCAAGUUCAACACCAUUUCUACCUAGCUUUUUUCAUAUUUUGUGGGUAAUGAUUUUAACUUAAACUUUUUAACUUUUUGUUCCUUUUUUUUUUAUUAAAAAUGAUUGCUUGUUCUUGGUUGGUCUUUUGAGAUGGUUUAGAUUCAAGCUUGCAAAAAAAGAUUGACUUUGAUUUACUCACCCUUUUUUAAAGAUU